GGGAGUGUAGCUCAUUGGUUGAGUGUCUGCUUACCAUGCAAGAGGCCCUGGGUUUGAAUCCCAGCACCA
rnacentral:tRNA from 1 species